rnacentral:rRNA from 1 species
CCUACGGGGGGCAGCAGUCGAGAAUCAUUCACAAUGGGGGAAACCCUGAUGGUGCGACGCCGCGUGGGGGAAUGAAGGUCUUCGGAUUGUAAACCCCUGUCAUGUGGGAGCAAAUUAAAAAGAUAGUACCACAAGAGGAAGAGACGGCUAACUCUGUGCCAGCAGCCGCGGUAAUACAGAGGACUCAAGCGUUGUUCGGAAUCACUGGGCGUAAAGCGUGCGGAGGCUGUUUCGUAAGUCGUGUGUGAAAGGCGCGGGCUCAAGCCGCGGACGGCAUAUGAUACUGCGAGACUGGAGUAAGGGAGGGGGAAGCGGAAUUCUCGGUGUAGGAGUGAAAUGCGUAGAUAUCGGGAGGAACACUAGUGGCGAAGGCGAGUAUCUGGACCUUAACUGACGCUGAGGCACGAAGGCGAGGGGAGCGAAAGGGAUUAGAUACCCGAGUAGUC